AUGAGGGCCUUAUUCUGGAAUAUUAGAGGGUUCGGUGCUAGGGGGCGCCGUGACCAACUGAAAGAUUUGGUUCGUUCUAACUCUAUUGACUUUGUGGGGCUGGUUGAAACGUUUAAGGAUUCCUUUACCCCCAGUGAGCUUUCUGCUAUCGUGGGUAUGGAUAGAUUUCAGUGGCAAUCUUUACCGGCUUCGGGCCACUCUGGUGGGAUUCUGAUCGGUUCUAAUAAGGAUAUUUUUGACUUUGUUGCUUUUGAUCAUGGUUUUUAUUGGGCUAGUGUUGUUCUCUCGCAUAGAUCUAUGAAUGCCCUCUAUGAAUUUAUAGUUGUUUAUGGGCCCGCGGAUCACUCCUUUUCGCACCUUUUCCUUGAUGAACUUUCGAUCAAGCUUGAGUCCUGUUCUCUCUCGACGGUGAUUGGGGGAGACUUUAAUCUUCUGCGAUGCCCUCUUGACAAGAAUAAUGAUAAUUUUUCCUGGUCUUUAGCCAAUGCUUUUAAUGACUUUAUUAGUGUCAAUGCCAUUCGGGAGCUUCCUCGGGGGGGAGCCCGCUUUACUUGGUCUAAUCAUCAGGCGAACCCUAUCAGAUCCGUGCUUGAUCGUGUCUUCCUAUGUCCCAGUUGGAAUGCCUUGUUUCCUAGGUCCUCUCUUGUAGCUAAAUGUAUUGUGGGGUCAGACCACACCCCCUUGAUUCUGGAUGAUGGUUCCAUUCGCAAUAGACCUCCGACUAGAUUUCAGUUUGAUGCUUCUUGGCUGUCUGUUGAUGGCUUUGUUGACAUGGUUGCGGCGAAAAUCUCCCAAUCCCUCUCUCACAACCCCCGCUCUUUUGGCCCUCUGGAUGAUUGGCAGUCAUGUGCCUAUGCUUUAUGA
rnacentral:rRNA from 1 species